rnacentral:lncRNA from 1 species
AGGCAGUUCCUAUCCCUUUCGGAGCUCCAGCCUGCCCCUCCUGACGCUCUCAGAGUCUGGCCUUCUGCUGGGCCCCGGGUCUCUCACUGGCAGAAUGGAGUUCUCGGAGCUGAUCCAUACGGGCUGAGCCCAAGCAGAGUUUCUACGGGGCCCGGAGGCGCCCCCGCUUCGCGGCACGGUGUGAGUCACCGUCCACCACCUGCUCCUGUCGCCAGGGCCCGCGUCCUCUCCGGACCUGUGGCUGCUGCUGUUGCGUAGCGUCGACUCCUUCGAGAAGCAGUGAGACGUGGCGGGGUGGGGGAGGGUCCCCGGGGUUGGGGAGCGCGCGGCUUGGCGGAGUAGGGGGCACGGCCAGCGCAGUCAGAGCUGGCGCCCUCCUGCGUAAGCCCAAUCCGGGAAACUCGUUGCCCCUCUCCUGGGAAAGGAACGUCCCUCCCCAGGGUUGCGAGUGACUCGGGCACCAUCACCCUGUGCUGUAAAGACCUGCGAGUGCUGCAGCUGGAAAUAGAGGGCGCGGAAGCGACGCUGGGCAUCGCCCGCUCCAUCGAGGGCCUGAGAUUGGGCGACUCCUGGCACUUCCUCCCGCCCGAACUCUACUGCAAGAGAGUAGCUCGCGAAGUGGGCGCGGUCGUAGGGGCCCGGGAAGGUGGAAGCGCCGGGCCUGGAAGAGGCGCGGGGACAGGGCACUCCCUGGGUGCCCUAGACCUGGCCUCUCUCCUCCCUGCGCUGCAGACCAACGCGUGGCGGCUGAGCGAGGUUCUGCUACGCUCCAGCCAGCCCCUAACUGGUCCCCAGAAGCGGCGCUGCUACAGGGACCAGGAGCUGCUGCGAACUGCGCUGGCGGGGGCUCGUCCUUGGGCGCGGGGCUUCAUCAUGGACACGCUCUCGGCCCAGGCCGCGAAACAAGCCCGCGUGACUGGCGGAGGCACAGAGACCAAGGCCGCUUAACCUGGCUGGUUGCACUGGUCCCUGGAGAGCACUGAGCACAGGGGCUGCCACAGUGGCCGGCUCAGACAUGGCAGAGAUCAGCAGAGAAUGGGCAAUCAGGCUCCCCUGAGAUGAGCAGCAGCGCAGAGGAGGUGCCCCUCUCUUACUACACCAACUUCAGAGGGCGUCCCCUGCAGGAGAGCUUCAUGCGCCUGGUGGAGGCCUGUGGGGACUCGGAGCAAAGCAUGGACAACUGGCUGAGUCGGCUGGACGGCUGCCGCUGACUGUAACAUGUAAAGCAGGCACUGAGCACCACCUGCCUGGCAGUCCAGGGCAUGGAGAGGCACAGACAGCACCCUGCUUGUGACUUCACUGGCCCAACUCAUCCUGGACCCCUUGAGCAAGACCAUGGCUGGAUUCCAGGAACUGGUGGAGUGGAAGUGGAUCCAGGAAAAUGCCGUGUGAAGGGAGGACUCAGAUGCACUCCCUGUGGUCUGGGCUCAACCAGCCAAAAGAGCAACAAAGACUCCAGAACCCACUCUACCUCCUCAAUCCCUUGGCCAUCUGUGGAGCCCCAGAGCCUGCGGCUGUGGCAAGGCCUGUUUCUGCGCUGGACCUGCUCACCUGAGCCUGCAGAAGCUGCAUGGGGGAAGAGUGUGGCAAAUAGUGACAGGAAGGGAGAAGACAGAAGCCUCUCAGCCAACUGCUUCAGCCGAGCCCCUAUUCUAAGCACUGGCUCCUUGGAUAGCAGCUGAGAUGUUCCUGAAACCUCUGCAGGCCCCUUAGGACCUUUACACCUUGGAUGAGGGUGCCUGCAACCCAGGUUAGCCAAAAGUACUGAGGGUCUUAAGUUUGAAGUGUCCAAAGUAUAGGGAGGUCUCAAUAAUAAAAGUCUCCAUGAUCAG